GGCAAGUCAAAGGUAGCUACUGGUUAAUAGCUAUUUUCUAUGAAUUUAGCUAUUUUAACUAAGGAAACUCCAUCCAUCACACAGAAAACUAUAAUAUCUGAAAGGAUAUAUGCUGAGAAGUAUGACUCUGGAGCAGAAACGAUACAGCUUCCAUUUGAAUGACUAUGAUGCAAUAAGCUGAGAUGACAUUGGAAGAAUAUGGUGAAACGGCCAAUCUAUAGUUGAUGCAAGGACAAAGGUGCUGAUUAUCCAUCUGUGGUAGGCAAGGUAGU
rnacentral:RNase_P_RNA from 1 species